UCGAUUUUGACCAUGCCGAAACAGACUGACGAUCAACAAAAUUUUAAACCGCGGAAAGAUGACAUGGAAUGUGGAACUUUCUGAAGGAACAAACGACCCUCUGGCUAUGAAAAGUAGGGGAUGGGAAGGGGUAGGGGCUGGGAACCAUUCGGCAACAGGGAGAUAGCGAGCUGUUGGGCCGUUAUUAUAGUAGGCCAUGUUGUCAACAAAAUGAGAAUAAUAUUCAAGAGAGGUGAUUACAACAUGCUUAGACAGUUUUGCAAUUCUUUCUAGACAUUGAAAAAUUUGAUGAUCUGGAAUUGUUACAUUUUUCUUGGGGCCAAGAAAUAAAGACGGAUGAAUGCACUUUGAGUUCUUUAACAUUCACAGGGCUUCAAAAUGACAACAUAAAAAUUCCUGUGUUGAUAAAGAGUAUCGAAAAACUAAAGCAAUUUUCAUUUAAAAGCAAAGCAGUAACAAAGGAUAUAAGUUACCCUUCAAUCCCCUCAUAACAAGUACUUGGGAAAUCAAUGCUUCAGAAAUCUGUGGUUCAAUUAAACAGGAGAUCCAUUUGGCGUCAUUGGUGGCCUAUCACCUUCAACUUCCUACUAAGUUGAUGGAUGUCAAAACAGAACUUCAAAAACUGAUAAUCUUGGAAACAUGUGGCCAGUGCUUCUUGCAUUGUCAAUAACAAAUUUGGCACAGUGGUCCUUCAGUUGCCGGUUGAAGAAGGAUAAGAAGGUGGUCGUUUAAAAGUAGAGUAAAGAAGAAAAACGACAGCAUUUGAGAAUCAUGUCAGCAGUGAAAAGAAUUCCUACAUAUCAGCAUUCUACAAUUGCUGUGAAAAGUUUAUGGAACUUUAAUUACAAAAGGACACAAGUUAAUACUUGUCUAUAAUCUAAUCUGGACAAAUGCCAAGACAGCAAUUCCAAACAAUUUCCCAGUUUUUCUUACAGCUUUAAAAGUGAUAAAACAAGUGUUAAACCCUAGCUUCAUCAAAAUGAAGCCAAAUUGAAAAUGCUAUUGGAUAUAUAUAUAUGGAUCAUCAUCCUUCCGCACGUGGAAAUACUCGGAUUGAACUUUGAAAGACAAAAUUGUGUAUUUCAUUCUAAAAGAAUUUAUGAAGAGAAAUCCCUCGCAUUUUAGCUACUUCGUGGCCAGGAUAAAUUUUUAGUAGAAAUUCUUUUAAACUGCGAUUUUCUUGACGUCCAUCUUGCGAAGACAUCUUAUUAUUCCGAAAGUUAAAAGUGAAGAACCUCUUGAUGUGGAAUGCUCUAAGUCGGAAAAUCAAGGAAUAGGCGAAGAACAUCUAGGUUCAAUAGAAAUUUCAACAUUAAUCGACUUUAACGACGUAACAAGAAAUUUGAGCUUCGAAUUGGAUUGGGACAAGCAUUUUGUUGAACUCAUUCAGUCAAACCCGGAAAAGGAAGUUUUCAGUGAAAAUCGUGAAGUUACUUAACUUCAACUUUAACCUUAAGUUCAACCUUAAGGUUGAACUUGGCAAGAGAAAUUUACACCAUGGUGUUUUAGUGAUCUGGCCGAAACACAGUUCCCAUUUACUGCUGGUUUGGCCUUCACUUCUUCUCAUCCGAAUGGGACAUAUGAAUUCAUCACCAAAAUGGGAAGCGCGACAAAGUAUCAGAAAUUUAUCUAAGGCAAUUAAUCUCGUUUUGCCGCGCUGAACCUCAACGAGCUUGGACUACAUCGGAUUUAGGAAGAGGUGAAUUGACUUUCAGAUUGCUUCGAUUCUAUAACUGCUUGCAAGCUUUCGAAGAGGGUUUCCAACUAUUGAAAAUACUUGGCUCUGAUUUCUACUCGGAAAACUUUGAAGGAGUACUAAAUGUCAUGAUCAAGUUGCUCAAGCCAUUGCGGAUUUUGUGAAUCAAGUUACUGUAUGGAAUGACGUCGCUUAGCUGAUUAAACCGCUUAAUUCUCGUGAUCGGAUUUCCAAGCAGUUGCUUCAGAUUACGAAAUCGGAAUCAAGAUCCCCUACUCCAUUUGACACAGCCAAUGAGCACCUCGACUCCCUUCAAAUUAAUGCACAGUUCUUCAUAAUAUUUCUACCACUAGUCUGAAAAUUCAAAGUUCAGUAGAUCCAGAUAGUUCAAAAGUUGCAUGUCAUGAAUCUGGAAAUCCACAAGUAUUGGUUCCUUUCCAUUCUCCGAGUAACAUCAAAUCCAACUACAACGAUUUUCGAACUAUGCCAUCCAUUUCCUCCAGUGGAGGCUUUUUCCUGGAGCGGUUUCGAGAAUUAUUGGACCCUGCUGUUGAAGAAGUGGCCUCAAAAACUGGUGGUAAUCCGACUAUCUCUUUCAGUUGCGUGAUUUUGAGUCAGCAUUUGAAGAGGCUUCUUUGGCACAAGCCGAUGAGAAAACAGACGAGUAUACGUUGAAAAUUCAAUUGAAGAAGGGACUUGCAAACUUCUUGACGAAGAAAAAGAGCCCCCAGAAGAGUCCCUCAACUAGGCUGAAGGUUUGAAUGUUUGAACGUUGAGGCAUCAGAAGCAUUUCUGAACAAAAUGGAAAACACCGAAGAUGUAUGUCAUACCAAUUUUCCAUACACACCGCCAGGAACAAGAUUAUUAUCGACUCCAUUUACCGCUAGAAAUGAGCAUUCCACUUAUCCCCUUCAAAAUAAUUCACAAGCUAUUACUAGUUUGAAAGUCCAAUGUUUGGUCAGCGCAGAAGGAUGCAAUUUCGUGGCGACUUCAGUUAUUGCAAAUUCAAGUCGUCCAAACCGAAAAACUACCCCUUUCACAAAUCAUAGCCAGUCUCCAUAUUUGGACUCUGGAAACACCUCCCUCUCACACAGUCUUUUGGAAUGGCGAAAACAACAGUAAGCAGAUUGGAAAAAUUUACGUUAAAGCAGUCGCGAUUGGCCCAAAACAUUUAAUUCCCAAAUAUAUUCUUCCUUCAACAUUGGAAGUGAUUGGUCGAAUCAAACAUGAAAUGAUGUGGGAUUACAUCAAACAGACAAAACGAGCAGGAACCCGAGACAUUGUUAUUAUCUCAUUUUUUCCAACUUCCGAGUCGUCCCGUCAAGAUUAUUCUUUGUUUAUCCAUCACAUGGAGCAAAACGAGCGGUUCGCUGUCGUUGGACCAGUCUCCAAACUCAUCAAAGACUUCUAUCUUGUUCCAUUACUCAGGGACAGGUCAAUUCCAGCGGCCCUUAUUUCGCUUUCAAAAGGCAUUGAUUGGUUUCAGAACAGGAAUCACAGUCUAUUGCUAGGUAUUAUGAUACCAAGUAGGAAGCAAGAGGCUGUCCAGGACUGUUCUUCCGUUUUGCCUUGAGCCCUUGAAUUGAAAUGCGAUAAAAUAUCAAUAAUUUUACAACUCAUCAGUCUUAAGCUUACCUAGUUUUAAAGCAUUGUUUCCAACUCGCUUGUUUAUUUGUACAGCGUGCGAAAAUAGCCUCCUCUUCUACUCCAAAAGUAGCAAAUAUUUUUAAUAGUUCAAAUUGGCACGCAGUGAAUUUACUUCGAAAAUCUAUGCGAAGCUUUAAGCUUAUAUAAAUGUGGCCUGCCUGUAAUUUUAAUAGAAAAUCGUCUAUCCGGUACACACACAAAAAAUAACUUUUGUUUUGGUCAUUCGACAAAACAAAUAAUGGAGAAUUUCAUCUUAUUGCCUCUCCACGAUUACUUUUUGGUUUAGUUCAUAUUUCGUGUUCGUAU